CUCAUCAGUUUUUAUCAAGCGUCGUAACACAGUACGUGAUAUAUGAGGCAUGCAGAUGGAAUGUUUUGAUCAGCUGAAGUAUCCAUUGAAGAGGAUCUUAGAAAAUAAUGUAUGAUGCAGUCACAGAAAUGUAUAUAAUAUUAGUAUGUCUGACCCAGUGACAACUCUACUACUCUGCCACAGAUUUUAUCUAUCGGAUCACCAGUGAUGGUGAUACAAGGCUGAAAAC
rnacentral:lncRNA from 1 species